CCUACGGGCGGCAGCAGUGGGGGAUAUUGCACAAUGGGGGGAACCCUGAUGCAGCGACGCCGCGUGGGUGAAGGAGCGUUUCGGCGCGUAAAGCCCUAUCGGCAGGGAAGAAGGAGGACGGUACCUGACUAAGAAGCCCCGGCUAACUCCGUGCCAGCAGCCGCGGUAAUACGGAGGGUGCAAGCGUUGUCCGGAAUCAUUGGGCGUAAAGAGUUCGUAGGUGGCAUAUUAAGUCUGGUGUUAAAUGCAGAAGCUCAACUUCUGUUCGGCACUGGAUACUGGUAAGCUUGAAUGCGGUAGAGGUAAAGGGAAUUCCUGGUGUAGCGGUGAAAUGCGUAGAUAUCAGGAGGAACAUCGGUGGCGUAAGCGCUUUACUGGGCCGUAAUUGACACUGAGGAACGAAAGCCGGGGUAGCAAAUGGGAUUAGAUACCCGUGUAGUC
rnacentral:rRNA from 1 species